rnacentral:lncRNA from 1 species
GAUUCAUUGGAUGUUCCUCUACGUCAACCUCUUUAAAGUUAUCUCUCCUCAACCACAAAGCUUUUACUCUAAAGGUUGGUUUGUGAUUCAUGUAUUUUUGUGAGGCUUCAAUGAACAGAUUUCUGAGGUCAUGGAGUUUAGAUGUGUCAUAUUCUUGUCGAUAUUUAAGUGUAAUAGUACUAGUAGCAAUCCAAAGUAUAAUUCUAGAUUUCCAAUUACAUUGUAUCAUUUGAGUUUUGAGGUCAUAAAGUUUAGAGUUUUGGUAUUGGUUUAGAUGUUUCAUAUCCUUGUGCUAAACCUUUUUAUUAUUUGGUUUAUGUAUUUUAUUGGUGAAUUGGAUAUAAAAUUUUAGGUUUUGAUUGUUUUAAAUCUCAUUUGCACGUUAGGCGACUGUUGGAUUUAUUUGUUCAUAGCUUAUACUGUCACAAAGAGGUAUUUCUCAUGGAUCUUAUAAGUUAAAUCAAUUUUUUUAUAUAUAGAGAUGGAUUGUUGUAAGAAAUCGUGAAGACUUCAAACUUUUGUUGGGUUUGGUGUUGGAUUUUACUCUGCUUUCUUAGUUGCUGAAAAGGUGAAAACUUCAAACUUUUGUUUCUUAGUGUCUUUUGAUAAAUGUCUUUGUUAUAAGGAGUGCACUUAUAGUUGUCUCUGCAUUCACAUAAAACCUCAAUCUAAGGUUACGUGUCUCUAUUCAAUGAUUUCUUAUGUUUGAUUUGUUGGAUAUUGAGAUCUCUUAUAGAUAAUGUGACUGCUCAUUACCUUAUUCAUGGCUGCAGGAAGAUGAAAAUUAAGAAUUUGCAAAAGGCUAUGGGUAUGAAGAGCUUUGUAAGGAACUACUCUCGGAGCAACUGCGUACUUGAGUUCGUAAACCUUAGUUUAUGAGCCAACUAUUUGGAUGUAUCUAGGAAAGCUACUAUUUUC